UCCCAGGGAGGUAGAGACGUACCGGGGCCCAGGACGACCGGGUGCGUGCCUGAGACCGGCAGGUGGCCCGUUCCUAACCCAGGGGCUCCCGGGACGGCCCCCGCGGCUGGCCAGCCCCAGGUCGGAGGAUGACCAGGACAAACCCCGCCGCCCAUGGAAGGAGCGGCUCGGCCGGGACAAGAUCCGCGGGAACAGAAGGACCCACGGGACUCCUGCGGAACGACCUCAGACCUGGAGCCCAGAAUCCCGGGCUGCAGAAGGUAUACAGACACAUGUCUCACCAACAGUUUUAGCUAGACCUUCAUUUACUGGAACGAACUGCACCUGUUUGAAACCACCAGGUAUGAUACCAGCACUGUGAAGUGGUUCCAUCUUCAUGGUUCCCAUAAAAGUUUGCUUUUCAAGACCCAGGAAAUCUGCCUCACUGAACUGAAGCUGGCAUUUUGAACUAGUGUGUUUCAGGACUCAGCUCACUGAAUUAACAGUGCCACCUGUUGGUGUAUGAUAAGAAGCACAGCCUGCUGUGACAGCCAUAGCAGAAUUGAGGUAUAAGUGGAUUUAACUUAAUAGAAAAAUCCUUCAUUUUUAUUGUGGGUGUGUGAGUGGGGAUAGUUGUUUAAAAAAAAAGAGGAAGAAAGUGGAGGAUUAGAGGGGAGAAGGAAAGAGGAAAAGAUGAGAGAGAGAGAGAAAGUUUGAAGUGAAUGGGUUUAAAAUAAAACCGAAUAACUGUGUUUAUACAAGCAUACGCAAAGUGUCACACUGGGUUAUACCGUAGUUAAUCUGGAGUAAUUCCACCAAACUGAAUGGAUUCACUCUAGAUUUACACCUGUGUAGCUGAUAUCAGAAUCUGGCUCCAUAGCUUCUGAAUCCAUGCAUAUUCCCUUCCCUCUUUAUGCCUAAUUUCAGU